CAGAGGGUGCAAGCGUUAAUCGGAAUUACUGGGCGUAAAGCGCGCGUAGGUGGUUGUUAAGUUGGAUGUGAAAUCCCCGGGCUCAACCUGGGAACUGCAUCCAAAACUGGCAAGCUAGAGUAGGGCAGAGGGUGGUGGAAUUUCCUGUGUAGCGGUGAAAUGCGUAGAUAUAGGAAGGAACACCAGUGGCGAAGGCGACCACCUGGGCUCAUACUGACACUGAGGUGCGAAAGCGUGGGGAGCAAACAGGAUU
rnacentral:rRNA from 1 species